rnacentral:rRNA from 1 species
CCUUGCGCGACCUUCUUCAUGCAGUCGAGCGAAUGGAUUAAGAAGCUUGCUCUUAUGAAGUUAGCGGCGGACGGGUGAGUAACACGUGGGUAACCUGCCCAUAAGACUGGGAUAACUCCGGGAAACCGGGGCUAAUACCGGAUAAUAUUUUGAACUGCAUGGUUCGAAAUUGAAAGGCGGCUUCGGCUGUCACUUAUGGAUGGACCCGCGUCGCAUUAGCUAGUUGGUGAGGUAACGGCUCACCAAGGCAACGAUGCGUAGCCGACCUGAGAGGGUGAUCGGCCACACUGGGACUGAGACACGGCCCAGACUCCUACGGGAGGCAGCAGUAGGGAAUCUUCCGCAAUGGACGAAAGUCUGACGGAGCAACGCCGCGUGAGUGAUGAAGGCUUUCGGGUCGUAAAACUCUGUUGUUAGGGAAGAACAAGUGCUAGUUGAAUAAGCUGGCACCUUGACGGUACCUAACCAGAAAGCCACGGCUAACUACGUGCCAGAGUC